rnacentral:rRNA from 1 species
UACGAAGGGGGCUAGCGUUGCUCGGAAUUACUGGGCGUCACGCGCCCGUAGGCGGCUCUUUCCUUCUUUUUUUCCCUCCUUUCUCUCAACUCCAGCCCUUCCUUCGAUACUGGAGAGCUCGAGUCCGGGAGAGGUGAGUGGAACUGCGAGUGUAGAGGUGAAAUUCGUAGAUAUUCGCAAGAACACCAGUGGCGAAGGCGGCUCACUGGCCCGGUACUGACGCUGAGGUGCGAAAGCGUGGGGAGCAAACAGG